rnacentral:rRNA from 1 species
UACGGGGGGGGCAAGCGUUGUUCGGAAUUACUGGGCGUAAAGGGUUUGUAGGUGGCCCGCUAAGUCACACGUGAAAUCCCUCAGCUUAACUGGGGAACUGCGUGUGAGACUGGCAGGCUCGAGGGCAGGAGAGGAACGCGGAAUUCCAGGUGUAGCGGUGAAAUGCGUAGAUAUCUGGAGGAACACCGGUGGCGAAGGCGGCGACCUGGGUCGAUACUGACGCUGAUGCGCGAAAGCGUGGGGAGCAAACAGG